AUAGCCACUCCACCACCACACUCGCAUGAUCGCAUCGUGGUGGACGAAAGCAAGAGUCCAUUCCUAACCCUAACCCUAACCCUAAAAUUUCAUCAAUGGACAAUGCUCAGAUGAUCAGAUCCAAGUGGAUCCUUCGCUCCAACCACGCCCGAUCUCCGCCAGUCCGAAAUCGCCAUAUCCGAUCAUCUCGUAGAACGGAUUGUUGUAUCACUGACGCCUCACCAAGAGAGGCAGAAAUCGAUAAUGGCUGCGAUUCAAUUCGAUUCCCUGACCGGUAAUCUUUGCUGAUUGAGAAUCGACACCUCAAUUCUUCUCUUACCGAUAAUCCUCGUUGGAAAUGGGAUGCAUAUUCACUGGCGAAGACCUCGAUAGGAUUUUCAGUGAACAUGCGCGCGACCGAUCUGAAUUACGCUGUUUCGAAUCGCGUCGAGUAGGUUCGGGCUGCUGUCUCGCGAGUUCGAAUUCGCUUUGCAUUUCAGUCCAAUUCCAUUGGGUCCCGUCCCGUCGAUGGCCGACUUCUUCUAGAAGAAGCGGAACGCGUUGAUCGCCUGGUGGGAAGCCUGAGAUCGAUGAUUUUGUUUCUCACUCUUUCAGUGCUUAGUUUUCUUACGAAUCUUCACCUUCUUGAUCUUUAUAUGCAGCUAUGCUUCUGUUUAUAUGCAUUCAUUUGGUUGUUAGCUGUCUUUUCAAACAGCCCCAUUGUAAAGUUUGAGAAUUCAAAAAGGUGAUAAAAUAACAGCGAUGGUUCGAUUACCUCACUCAUGGAUUUGUAGAUGAAGUGAAGGUCGAGGUCGCAGUCGCCACUGAGAAGCCUUGUGAUCUUGAGAUGAUGAUAAUUUAUAAGAAGGGAGUUGGAAGAUGAGAAGAUAAAAUGAGAAAAAGAAAAGAUUACGAGGAAGAUGACAUAUCAAGGCUACUGCAGUUGUUGAUGCUCUGAUUGGGGAUUUUGUGUGUGGGUUGUUUCUUGUUUUUUGGUUUUUCUGUGUUGGCCCCAAAUUUGAAGGCAAUGCUGCUUGGUGUGCGUGUGUGCUCGUGUUUCCAUUUUUUUUCUUUUUCACUUUUUCAGAUCAUCUGAUGCAUGAGAGAACAAUGGAUCCACUGACAAGAAAUAUUAAUGAUUUAAUCGGUAAUAACAAUUUGGGCCCAAGCCGACAA